UGGGGAUAUAGCUCAUUUGGUAGAGUGCUUGCCUCAUAUGCAAGCACUCAUAUGCAAGGGUUCAAUCCCCAGAACCAUAA
rnacentral:tRNA from 1 species